rnacentral:rRNA from 1 species
GGCGGCGUGCCUAAUACAUGCAAGUCGAACGCUUUCUUCACCGGAGCUGCACACCGAAGAAAGGAGUGGCGAACGGGUGAGUAACACGUGGGUAACCUGCCCAUCAGAAGGGGAUAACACUUGGAAACAGGUGCUAAUACCGUAUAAUAAUCGAAACCGCAUGGUUUCGGUUUGAAAGGCGCUUUUGCGUCACUGAUGGAUGGACCCGCGGUGCAUUAGCUAGUUGGUGAGGUAACGGCUCACCAAGGCAACGAUGCAUAGCCGACCUGAGAGGGUGAUCGGCCACAUUGGGACUGAGACACGGCCCAAACUCCUACGGGAGGCAGCAGUAGGGAAUCUUAGGCAAUGGACGCAAGUCUGACCGAGCAACGCCGCGUGAGUGAAGAAGGUUUUCGGAUCGUAAAACUCUGUUGUUAGAGAAGAACAAGGAUGAGAGUAAAAUGUUCAUCCCUUGACGGUAUCUAACCAGAAAGCCACGGCUAACUACGUGCCAGCCGCAGC